AUCAGACUCCAGCUGACAGCCCAGUCCGUGUCCCACACUUGGAGUAGCACUUCCAGAAAUGACGACUACAAGAAGACAGGAAAUAAAAAACAGAUUCAGGGAAGAUAAAGCAGAAGGUCUCGUGCAGACUCCAACUUAGGAAGAAAUGGUGCUUUUCUGAGUGUGCCUACCAGGAACCUUUAAAGACCCGCCUGGCAUUUCACAGCUGUGUGAAUCCUCACAUGGGCCUACAGUAAAAGACAAUAUCCACGUGAAGCAUGAAGAAUGCUCAAAGGAGAAAUCCUCCGAGUUGUGGCUUUUGUCUUUGCUUUUGCCAGCUUUAAGGGUAGCAGUUUCUGCAGCCAUCAGCUGGACACGUGGACAGCGCGUGGGGCUCACUCAGGCAGUGUCCUUAAGCUCUGGUAGUGGGGAGGGUCGGCACACAGUGAAAGGAGUAAGACGAGUCGAGGCGCCCCGGACAGGCUCAGAAACAUGCAGUCAGAGAUGACGCCACUACCUGCAGCUGGCCUCCCACUGCCCAGAAGUGACCAGUCCCUCCUCCCAGGUCAGCGGCUGAGCUCCUCAGGCCUGAAGCCCAUCUUCCGGCAGCACUGUAUUUUCAAUAUUCAUCUUACAAUAUUUAGCAUGGGCCUGGCACAAUAGCGUAGCAGUUAAAGUCCUCGCCUUGAAUGCACCGGGAUCCCAUACGGGC